CCUACGGGUGGCAGCAGUGGGGAAUAUUGGGCAAUGGGCGCAAGCCUGACCCAGCAACGCCGCGUGAAGGAAGAAGGCUUUCGGGUUGUAAACUUCUUUUAAGGGGGACGAACAAAUGACGGUACCCCUUGAAUAAGCCACGGCUAACUACGUGCCAGCAGCCGCGGUAAUACGUAGGUGGCAAGCGUUAUCCGGAUUUAUUGGGUGUAAAGGGUGUGUAGGCGGGAGCGCAAGUCAGAUGUGAAAACUCAGAGCUCAACCCUGAGCCUGCAUUUGAAACUGUGUUUCUUGAGUGCUGGAGGGGCAAUGGGAAUUCCGUGUGUAGCGGGGAAAUGCGUAGAUAUACGGAGGAACACCAGUGGCGAGGGCGGAUUGCUGGACAGUAACGGACGCUGAGGCGCGAAAGCGUGGGAGCAAACAGGAUUAGAUACCCGAGUAGUU
rnacentral:rRNA from 1 species